GCUUAUCACACUUGACUUAUUUCCUUGAGUUUGACCCAGAAUGGCUUAUACUGCAGAAGGACAAUCCUCUUUGAAGAUGUUCCCCUCAAGGGCUCCUCACCACGUCAGAAUACAGCCUCUCCAGUGAGUGGGAACAACUCUCCAAAGAAAGAGUUAAGUAGAGGGUGAAGAGCCUCUAACCAGUGGUCCUUCAGCUAAUUUCCUCCAGUGGCAAGCAUCCAGAGGUAAUUGGUGAUAUUGUAACCUUCAAGCAGUGUGAAAUGAG
rnacentral:lncRNA from 1 species